rnacentral:rRNA from 1 species
GACGAACGCUGGCGGCGUGCCUAAUACAUGCAAGUAGGACGCACAGUUUAUACCGUAGCUUGCUACACCAUAGACUGUGAGUUGCGAACGGGUGAGUAACGCGUAGGUAACCUGCCUAUUAGAGGGGGAUAACUAUUGGAAACGAUAGCUAAUACCGCAUAACAGUAUGUAACACAUGUUAGAUGCUUGAAAGAUGCAAUUGCAUCGCUAGUAGAUGGACCUGCGUUGUAUUAGCUAGUAGGUAGGGUAAUGGCCUACCUAGGCGACGAUACAUAGCCGACCUGAGAGGGUGAUCGGCCACACUGGGACUGAGACACGGCCCAGACUCCUACGGGAGGCAGCAGUAGGGAAUCUUCGGCAAUGGGGGGAACCCUGACCGAGCAACGCCGCGUGAGUGAAGAAGGCCCUCGGGUUGUAAAGCUCUUUUGUCCGGAAAGAAAAGCAAUCGGUUAAUACCCGGUUGUUCUGACGGUACCGGAAGAAUAAGCACCGGCUAACUUCGUGCC